rnacentral:rRNA from 1 species
GCAAAGUCUGACGGAGCACGCCGCGUGAGUGAUGAAGGUUUCGGAUCGUAAAACUCUGUUGUUAGGGAAGAACAAGUGCCAUAGUAACUGAUGGCACCUUGACGGUACCUAACCAGAAAGCCACGGCUAACUACGUGCCAGCAGCCGCGGUAAUACGUAGGUGGCAAGCGUUGUCCGGAAUUAUUGGGCGUAAAGCGCUCGCAGGCGGUUCUUUAAGUCUGAUGUGAAAUCUUACGGCUCAACCGUAAACGUGCAUUGGAAACUGGGGAACUUGAGUGCAGAAGAGGAGAGUGGAAUUCCACGUGUAGCGGUGAAAUGCGUAGAGAUGUGGAGGAACACCAGUGGCGAAGGCGACUCUCUGGUCUGUAACUGACGCUGAGGAGCGAAAGCGUGGGGAGCGAACAGGAUUAGAUACCCUGGUAGUCCACGCCGUAAACGAUGAGUGCUAGGUGUUAGGGGGUUUCCGCCCCUUAGUGGG